UGCCAGCAGCCGCGGUAAUACGGAGGGAGCUAGCGUUGUUCGGAAUUACUGGGCGUAAAGCGUGCGUAGGCGGAUCGACAAGUUGGGGGUGAAAUCCCUCGGCUCAACCGAGGAACUGCCUCUGAAACUGUCAGGCUUGAGGCCGGGAGAGGGUAGUGGAAUUCCUGGUGUAGAGGUGAAAUUCGUAGAUAUUAGGAAGAACACCAGUGGCGAAGGCGGCUAACUGGCUCGGUACUGACGCUGAGAUGCGAAAGCGUGGGGAGCAAACAGGAUUAGAUA
rnacentral:rRNA from 1 species